rnacentral:rRNA from 1 species
CUACGGAGGAUCCGAGCGUUAUCCGGAUUUAUUGGGUUUAAAGGGAGCGUAGGUGGGGUAUUAAGUCAGCUGUGAAAGUUUGGGGCUCAACCUUAAAAUUGCAGUUGAUACUGGUUUCCUUGAGUACGGUACAGGUGGGCGGAAUUCGUGGUGUAGCGGUGAAAUGCUUAGAUAUCACGAAGAACUCCGAUCGCGAAGGCAGCUCACCGGGCCGGAACUGACACUGAUGCUCGAAAGUGCGGGUAUCAAACAGGAUUAGAUACCCUGGUAGUCCGCACAGUAAACGAUGAAUACUCGCUGUUUGCGAUACACGGUAAGCGGCCAAGCGAAAGCGUUAAGUAUUCCACCUGGGGAGUACGCCGGCAACGGUGAAACUCAAAUGAAUUGGCGGGG